GUGUACCGACAUGAUUGUCUACUUAUUUUCCAGACCUUAAAGUAUGAAUUACAUUUAAAUGGUUGAUCUGAGCUCUUUGUUGUGGUCUUUGAUUGUUUUGAGUUCUAGGAUUAGCCUCGGGUUGACUUGAUAGUUUACCUUUUUUUUUCACUUACAGCCAUGGCUAAUUGACCUAAUUGCAUCUCUAAACGGAUAAUAGCUUGGGUGUUGAAAGUUAAAAGCUGGCCUGUGGUCUGCAU
rnacentral:lncRNA from 1 species